UGACGAAGGGGGCUAGCGUUGUUCGGAAUCACUGGGCGUAAAGCGCGUGUAGGCGGAUCGUUAAGUCGGGGGUGAAAUCCUGAGGCUCAACCUCAGAACUGCCUUCGAUACUGGCGAUCUUAGAGUCCGGGAGAGGUGAGUGGAACUCCUAGUGUAGAGGUGAAAUUCGUAGAUAUUAGGAAGAACACCAGUGGCGAAGGCGGCUCACUGGCCCGGUACUGACGCUGAUAUGCGAAAGCGUGGGGAGCAAACAGG
rnacentral:rRNA from 1 species